rnacentral:rRNA from 1 species
AAGACCUUGCGCUUUUGGAGCGGCCGAUGUCUGAUUAGCUUGUUGGUAAGGUAAAAGCUUACCAAGGCUUCGAUCAGUAGCUGGUCUGAGAGGACGACCAGCCACACUGGGACUGAGACACGGCCCAGACUCCUACGGGAGGCAGCAGUGGGGAAUUUUGGACAAUGGGGGCAACCCUGAUCCAGCCAUGCCGCGUGAGUGAAGAAGGCCUUCGGGUUGUAAAGCUCUUUCAGCCGGAACGAAACGGUUACGGUUAAUACCCGUGACUACUGACGGUACCGGAAGAAGAAGCACCGGCUAACUACGUGCCAGCAGCCGCGGUAAUACGUAGGGUGCGAGCGUUAAUCGGAAUUACUGGGCGUAAAGCGUGCGCAGGUGGUUUUGUAAGUCAGAUGUGAAAUCCCCGGGCUCAACCUGGGAACU